rnacentral:lncRNA from 1 species
GUGAAGAUAUAGAACAUCUUUUCUGAAAGAAGUGUGUAUUUGUUUCUCGAGCAGAUAUCCUCAGCAUGGUUGAGAACCUUCUCAAAGCACAACAGUUCUGGAGGGUCUCGAGGAAGGAUGUGACAGUGCUCUGCAAGACGUGCAAUCUGCUGGACUGGCUGCCUCCAGGGACCCUGAGACCCUGUCAGGCGUCAGGGUCCCCUACAAGCAGUCGGAGAGCUCGCAGGACUCUGGGCGCACACCAGCUCCCCGAGGAAGGGGCUGCCUUCGGGGAGGAUCUGUGGCUGCCUAUAUCGUGAAGCUUGCUUCUCAACAACAGAAAUAAAGUGCUUGUCAGGCAGAAGCA